CCCAAGAGAUCGGGAUAACACCUGGAAACAGAUGCUAAUACCGGAUAACAACAGAUGAUGCCUAUCAACUGUUUAAAAGAUGGUUCUGCUAUCACUCUUGGAUGGACCUGCGGUGCAUUAGCUAGUUGGUAGGGUAACGGCCUACCAAUGCGAUGAUGCAUAGCCGAGUUGAGAGACUGAUCGGCCACAUUGGGACUGAGACACGGCCCAAACUCCUACGGGAUGCAGCAGUA
rnacentral:rRNA from 1 species